GAGCAAGUUGUGAAAUUGCAUACGCGUACGGCUUAGGACCGUAUCCGAAAGGUUGGAGGUUCGAGUCCUCUCUCGCCCA
rnacentral:tRNA from 1 species